UCAGCUCACGUUGCAUUGGCAGCAUGGCUGGAGUGACUCUUCCUGCCUUAAAGGCAGGGAGAGCUGCUCCUGCUCUCUCUGCCAACACAGCAGGGGCAAUCGAUCUCCCUCCUAAACGACUAGAGCAAGUCAGAGCUGGAGUUUGCAGAAGAAGCAGUCUGCUGGAAAGAGUCUGCUGGCUGGAGGCAGUCAGAGCUGGAGGUUGCAGAAGAAGGAAGGAAGUCUGGAAUUCUGCUAGACUGAGUCCAGGAAAGCAGAGAGUGAGCAGCCAGCAAGAAGAGAAGUCGAGCUGAAAUCACUAGAAGAAAAGGAAGAGCCAGGCUGGAUUGAGCCCCAGACCUGUGCUGUAAUUAGAAGAGACUGCCCAGCAAGAGUAGGGCCCAGUAUAGAAUCAGGCCGCCAUCCCUCUGUGCCUGGAGGGCAUGUACAUUGACUCCACAUAUGGAUGACAGGAAGCUGGUAAAGUUGUGGCAGUGAACCUGUAACAUGGGUUGUGUGGAUCCAUUUUCCUGGAUGAGAAACCUGACUUACUAGACUUUCCCUUCAUAUGUGUCAGGACCCAGCCAUAUCCCAACCCCAAGGAGGCCUCUUAAAGGGAAAAGGAGAAGGAGCAGAUCCCUGCAGAAGCCUCUAGGACCAACCAAGAUCCUCAGAAACCAAAGUCCUUGAGGAACAACUGGAGCUUGCCCUCCUCUGAAUCUGACACCCCCAUCUGGAUUCUUGCCUCACUCCAGACUGUCCUCCAUCACCCUCAUAAGCAAGAAUUGGAUGGUGCCUGAGGCCUUAUUUCUCACGGGCUUUCUUGGGAAGAGGAGAAAGCAGGCACAAGACCCAACUUGAUCCUGGAAGGGGAGGCACUUUCUGUUCACCUUAAAAGUGCCUCAGUAUCAGCUAGGUACUCAGUGGUCAAAUGGCUCUACCGUGAGAGCUCCACUACAGCCAGCACCCAGGCAUCUGUCCUCACCCUCUGUCCCGUUUCCCUGCUCUUAUUUCCUAUUCCAGUUCUUUUUUUCUGUUCCAGACCCUUGCUUCCACUCUCCAGUUCUAGCCUCCCAAUCCAUCUCACCUCCCUUGGGAAGUAGGGACAGAUAAUACAUUUUAAAGUGUGUUCUGACUUACAGUGAAUGCAUGUUGAGAUCUUUCAAGACUGGUUUACAGUACAUCUCUUUAUUUAUCAUGUGAACACUUGGUACUUGAUAACCCUCUUCUAGGGAUCUUGCAGUAAUACAAUAGUGGUUUACAAUGCAAAUAUUGUAUUUUCACUGUUGCAGAUGAUUAUCCAAAACACACCUUCUGUUCAAUUCUGAUUUACUUUCAAUUGCAAAAUAAAAUAAAAAUAAAAAUG